rnacentral:rRNA from 1 species
UACGAAGGGGGCUAGCGUUGCUCGGAAUCACUGGGCGUAAAGGGUGCGUAGGCGGGUCUUUUAAGUCAGGGGUGAAAUCCUGGAGCUCAACUCCAGAACUGCCUUUGAUACUGAAGAUCUUGAGUUCGGGAGAGGUGAGUGGAACUGCGAGUGUAGAGGUGAAAUUCGUAGAUAUUAGGAGGAACACCAGUGGCGAAGGCGGACUCACUGGUCCGGUACUGACGCUGAGGUGCGAAAGCGUGGGGAGCAAACAGGG